rnacentral:rRNA from 1 species
CUUAGCAUGAAGUCAGACAA